rnacentral:piRNA from 1 species
UACAUCAAGCCGGGAACAGGCCACAACUC